UCAAAUUACCACAGAACACGAUUUCCAUAUGAAUGAAUCAAAACAUAAUUUGAUCUUCAAAGCAUAAAUGACCAAUGCUGGCUGAUGGCUGUGGUUUACACAUUAACAGACAUUGGAAGAAAAUCAUGGAAAAGUUAAGAGAUAAAUGUCAUAUAUUUGUACUGAAAUUUCUGUAGUGAAAAUAGACCCCCUCUCAGGUAACUGCUGUUACUUUCACUACAACGUCAUUCCUCUGUUGAGCUGGAAUUGUGGUAGGAAUCCACUGCAUUUCAGUAAAGCAGAAAGACCAGAGGUAGAUCAUUGCUGUUGCCCUUGAAAAUGGCUUCUGAAGCAAGCAAGGCAGUUGGCAGCAUGAAAAUUGCUUGGUCUUCUGAACAUGCAACUUGUUCCUUAUUCGGCACCUCCAUAGUGCUAAAUGUUUCCCCUUAAAGAACAUAGUCACCAUCAGAGCGUGGCAUGGUUUGGAUUGUGAGUUGUGGCUUUAACAGUGGACAGCACGAGAGCCUCUUCAGAUCCCUACUUACAAGCUUCCAUCAUGGAGUGCGUAUUACUCUUUAAACACAAAUGUAAAGAUGACAGACACUAAGUGGAAUGUCAUAGAUUCUUUAUAAAAACAUCCAUCCUGGGUCAGAUCAGUGGCCCAUCUAGCCAGGUGCUUUAAAGGGAAUGAACAGAACAGGGCCGUUAUCGAGUGAUCCAUCAUCCCCUGUCAGCAGUCAGAGAGUAGAGACACUCAGAGCAUGGGGUUGUAUCCCUAGCCAUCUUGGCUGUCCUCCAUGAACUUAUCUCAUUCUUUUUUUGAACCCAGUUAAAUUUUUGGCUUUCAUGUGACCUUUCUUAAAAAAAAAAAAAAAAUCUGUAGACAGAGAGUAAAUUUGAAGUGAUACUACAGAAAAAAGCCAACUUUUGUUACCUGUUCCACAAUGUGUAUUCUUACCACAAGCUUGAUAUCUAGUGUGUGUCCUCUAAGAGAAAAUUAAAAGUAAUGUGAAUUUACAUGUGGUUCCAAAGAUGCUCAGAAUAUUCACUACUGUAUUGCGAAAUAUUAUCUCAAUAUGAGAAUAAGAAAUAACAUUUGUUUCCUUACAAUCCUCCAGCACUUUCUUAUAAGUAGUAAGCAGUAAGAUCAAAAGUGUCCUCCUGAGAAGUUCCCCAAUGGUUUAGUGCUUACAUCCUUUUUAUAUUUUAGUUGUCAAAAACUGUCUUUGUAGAUCUUAAAAUAAGCUCUUUUUAUGUUCAGGAAAUGUCUCACGCUGCUGCUGAGAGGAAGUGUUUAUAAUCAAACACUUUAUUAUGUGUCUUAUAAGAUUUAAAGAUUUAAAAUGUUAUUUACACCCUUU